rnacentral:rRNA from 1 species
UACGGGGGGGGCAAGCGUUGUUCGGAAUUACUGGGCGUAAAGGGCUCGUAGGUGGCCAACUAAGUCAGACGUGAAAUCCCUCGGCUUAACCGGGGAACCGCGUCUGAUACUGGAUGGCUUGAGAUUGGGAGAGGGAUGCGGAAUUCCCGGUGUAGCGGUGAAAUGCGCAGAUAUCGGGAAGAACACCCGUGGCGAAGGCGGCUCUCUGGGACGGUACUGACGCUGAGACGCGAAAGCGUGGGGAGCGAACAGG